AUUGAACGCUGGCUGCAGGCCUAACACAUGCAAGUCGAACGAGUGGCGGACGGGUGAGUACUGUCUGGGAAACUGCCUGAUGGAGGGGGAUAACUACUGGAAACGGUAGCUAAUACCGCAUACCCUCAGAUGUGCCCAGAUGGGAUGAGCUUGUUGGUGGGGUAACGGCUCACCAAUGCGACGAUCCCUAGCGGGUCUUAGAGGAUGACCAGCCACACUGGAAGUGAGACACGGUCCAGACUCCUACGGGAGGAAGCAGUGGGGAAUAUUGCACAAGGGGCGCAAGCCUGAUGCAGCCAUGCCGCGUGUAUGAAGAAGGCCUUCGGGUUGUAAAGUACUUUCAGCGGGGAGGCGUUACCCGCAGAAGAAGCACCGGCUAACUCCGUGCCAGCCGCCGCGGUAAUAC
rnacentral:rRNA from 1 species